GUGCUCACUUCGGCAGCACAUGUACUAAAACUGGAGCAACACAGAGAAGAUUAGGUUGCCCCAUGAAAGGAUGACACGCAAAUAAAUAUGUGAAGCAUUCUAUA
rnacentral:snRNA from 1 species